UAGGGAAUCUUCGGCAAUGGGGGGAACCCUGACCGAGCAACGCCGCGUGAGUGAAGAAGGCUUUCGGAUCGUAAAGCUCUGUUGUUAAGGAAGAACGAGUGUGAGAAUGGAAAGUUCAUGCUGUGACGGUACUUAACCAGAAAGGGACGGCUAACUACGUGCCAGCAGCCGCGGUAAUACGUAGGUCCCGAGCGUUUUCCGGAUUUAUUGGGCGUAAAGCGAGCGCAGGCGGUCAAUUAAGUCUGAUGUGAAAGCCCCCGGCUCAACCGGGGAGGGUCAUUGGAAACUGGUUGACUUGAGUGCAGAGGAGGAGAGUGGAAAUCCAUGUGUAGCGGUGAAAUGCGUAGAUAUAUGGAGGAACACCAGUGGCGAAGGCGACUCUCUGGUCUGUAACUGACGCUGAGGCUCGAAAGCGUGGGUAGCAAACAGG
rnacentral:rRNA from 1 species